rnacentral:hammerhead_ribozyme from 1 species
AUUCAUCUGACGAGUCCCAAAUAGGAAGAAACGCGCGUUAAUCUGGAU